CUACUACUCCCUCCGUCGGAAAAUACUUGUCAUUGAAAUGGAUGUAUCUAGAUGUAUUUUAGUUCUAGACACAUCCAUUUUGAUGACAAGUAAUUCCGGACGGAGGGAGUAUUAU
rnacentral:pre_miRNA from 1 species